UACGGGGGGGGCAAGCGUUGUUCGGAAUUACUGGGCGUAAAGGGCUCGUAGGCGGCCAACUAAGUCCGACGUGAAAUCCCAAGGCUUAACCUUGGAACUGCGUCGGAUACUGGAUGGCUUGAAUUCGGGAGAGGGAUGCGGAAUUCCAGGUGUAGCGGUGAAAUGCGUAGAUAUCUGGAGGAACACCGGUGGCGAAGGCGGCAUCCUGGACCAACACUGACGCUGAUGAGCGAAAGCCAGGGGAGCAAACGGG
rnacentral:rRNA from 1 species